GGCAGGCCUAACACAUGCAAGUCGAACGGUAACAGGAAGCAGCUUGCUGCUUUGCUGACGAGUGGCGGACGGGUGAGUAAUGUCUGGGAAACUGCCUGAUGGAGGGGGAUAACUACUGGAAACGGUGGCUAAUACCGCAUAACGUCGCAAGACCAAAGAGGGGGACCUUCGGGCCUCUUGCCAUCAGAUGUGCCCAGAUGGGAUUAGCUUGUUGGUGAGGUAACGGCUCACCAAGGCGACGAUCCCUAGCUGGUCUGAGAGGAUGACCAGCCACACUGGAACUGAGACACGGUCCAGACUCCUACGGGAGGCAGCAGUGGGGAAUAUUGCACAAUGGGCGCAAGCCUGAUGCAGCCAUGCCGCGUGUAUGAAGAAGGCCUUCGGGUUGUAAAGUACUUUCAGCGGGGAGGAAGGUGUUGUGGUUAAUAACCGCAGCAAUUGACGUUACCCGCAGAAGAAGCACCGGCUAACUCCGUGCCAGCAGCCGCGGUAAUACGGAGGGUGCAAGCGUUAAUCGGAAUUACUGGGCGUAAAGCGCACGCAGGCGGUCUGUCAAGUCGGAUGUGAAAUCCCCGGGCUCAACCUGGGAACUGCAUUCGAAACUGGCAGGCUUGAGUCUUGUAGAGGGGGGUAGAAUUCCAGGUGUAGCGGUGAAAUGCGUAGAGAUCUGGAGGAAUACCGGUGGCGAAGGCGGCCCCCUGGA
rnacentral:rRNA from 1 species